AGCUUGCUAGAUGUCGGCGACCGGCGAACGGGUGCGUAACGCGUAUAGAAUCUGCCUUGUACAGGAGGAUAGCCUUUAGAAAUGAAGAUUAAUACUCCAUAGUGUUGUGAACUGGCAUCAGUUUAUAAUUAAAGAUUUAUCGGUACAAGAUGACUAUGCGUCCUAUUAGCUAGAUGGUAAGGUAACGGCUUACCAUGGCGACGAUAGGUAGGGGGUCUGAGAGGAUUAUCCCCCACACUGGUACUGAGACACGGACCAGACUCCUACGGGAGGCAGCAGUGAGGAAUAUUGGUCAAUGGAGGCAACUCUGAACCAGCCAUGCCGCGUGCAGGAAGACUGCCCUAUGGGUUGUAAACUGCUUUUAUACAGGAAGAAACAGAACUACGUGUAGUUCCUUGACGGUACUGUAAGAAUAAGCACCGGCUAACUCCGUGCCAGCAGCCGCGGUAAUACGGAGGGUGCAAGCGUUAUCCGGAAUCAUUGGGUUUAAAGGGUCCGCAGGCGGUCAAUUAAGUCAGAGGUGAAAUCCCAUAGCUUAACUAUGGAACUGCCUUUGAUACUGGUUGACUUGAGUUAUACGGAAGUAGAUAGAAUAAGUAGUGUAGCGGUGAAAUGCAUAGAUAUUACUUAGAAUACCGAUUGCGAAGGCAGUCUACUACGUAUAUACUGACGCUCAUGG
rnacentral:rRNA from 1 species